rnacentral:tRNA from 1 species
GCUCGGGUGGCGGAACGGUAGACGCUGCGGACUUAAAAUCCGCUGGCCUUGCGGCCGUACGGGUUCGAUUCCCGUUCCGAGCACCA